rnacentral:misc_RNA from 1 species
GAACGCACAUUGCGCCCGCCAGUAUUCUGGCGGGCAUGCCUGUCCGAGCGUCAUUUCAACCCUCAGAGCCCACCGCUUGCGGUGCGGCGCUGGUGUUGGGGAUCGGCCCGCCUCCGCGCGGCGCCGUCCCCCAAAUACAGUGGCGGUCUCGCUGCAGCCUCCCCUGCGUAGUAGCAACACUCGCAUGCGGAGCGCGGCGCGGCCACGCCGUAAAACCCCCGACUUUCUGAACGUUGACCUCGGAUCAGGUAGGAAUACCCGCUGAACUUAAG